rnacentral:rRNA from 1 species
UCGGGAAUUUUGGGCAAUGGGCGAAAGCCUGACCCAGCAACGCCGCGUGAAGGAUGAAGUAUUUCGGUAUGUAAACUUCGAAAGAAUAGGAAGAAUAAAUGACGGUACUAUUUAUAAGGUCCGGCUAACUACGUGCCAGCAGCCGCGGUAAUACGUAGGGACCAAGCGUUGUUCGGAUUUACUGGGCGUAAAGGGCGCGUAGGCGGCAAUUCAAGUCAUCUGUGAAAUCUCCGGGCUUAACUCGGAACGGUCAGAUGACUACUGCUUUGCUAGAGUGCAGAAGGGGCAAUCGGAAUUCUUGGUGUAGCGGUGAAAUGCGUAGAUAUCAAGAGGAACACCUGAGGUGAAGACGGGUUGCUGGGCUGACACUGACGCUGAGGCGCGAAAGCCAGGGGAGCAAACGGGAUUAGAUACCCCCGUAGUCCCUGAGCGGGCUGGCAAGGCGCAU